rnacentral:rRNA from 1 species
GUGGGGAAUAUUGGACAAUGGGCGAAAGCCUGAUCCAGCCAUGCCGCGUGUGUGAAGAAGGUCUUCGGAUUGUAAAGCACUUUAAGUUGGGAGGAAGGGUAGUAACCUAAUACGUUGCUACUUUGACGUUACCGACAGAAUAAGCACCGGCUAACUUCGUGCCAGCAGCCGCGGUAAUACGAAGGGUGCAAGCGUUAAUCGGAAUUACUAGGCGUAAAGCGCGCGUAGGUGGUUCAGUAAGUUGGAAGUGAAAUCCCCGGGCUCAACCUGGGAAAUGCUUUCAAAACUGCUGAGCUAGAGUACGGUAGAGGGUGGUGGAAUUUCCUGUGUAGCGGUGAAAUGCGUAGAUAUAGGAAGGAACACCAGUGGCGAAGGCGACCACCUGGACUGAUACUGACACUGAGGUGCGAAAGCGUGGGGAGCAAACAGGAUUAGAAACCCUUGUAGUCC